GACAGAGGAUGCAAGCGUUAUCCGGAAUGAUUGGGCGUAAAGCGUCUGUAGGUGGCUUUUUAAGUUUGCCGUCAAAUCCCAGGGCUCAACCCUGGACAGGUGGUGAAAACUAUCAAGCUAGAGUACGGUAGGGGCAGAGGGAAUUUCCGGUGGAGCGAUGAAAUGCGUAGAGAUGGGGGAGAACACUCGUGGCGAAGGCGGCCAGCUGGACCAGUUCUGACGCUGAGACGCGAAAGCGUGGGGAGCAAACAGG
rnacentral:rRNA from 1 species